rnacentral:rRNA from 1 species
UACGUAGGGACCGAGCGUUGUCCGGAAUUAUUGGGCGUAAAGAGCUCGUAGGCGGUCUGUCGCGUCGGCUGUGAAAACCCGGGGCUCAACCCCGGGCCUGCAGUCGAUACGGGCAGACUAGAGUGCGGUAGGGGAGACUGGAAUUCCUGGUGUAGCGGUGAAAUGCGCAGAUAUCAGGAGGAACACCGGUGGCGAAGGCGGGUCUCUGGGCCGUAACUGACGCUGAGGAGCGAAAGCGUGGGGAGCGAACAGG